rnacentral:tRNA from 1 species
GGGGCCAUAGCUCAGCUGGUAGAGCACUUGCCUGGCAGGCAAGGGGUCAGGGGUUCGAAUCCCCUUGGCUCCA